rnacentral:rRNA from 1 species
AUGGCGACCGGCGCACGGGUGAGUAACACGUAUCCAACCUGCCGAUAACUCGGGGAUAGCCUCUCGAAAGAAAGAUUAAUACCCGAUGGUAUAAUCAGACCGCAUGGUCUUGUUAUUAAAGAAUUUCGGUUAUCGAUGGGGAUGCGUUCCAUUAGGCAGUUGGUGAGGUAACGGCUCACCAAACCUUCGAUGGAUAGGGGUUCUGAGAGGAAGGUCCCCCACAUUGGAACUGAGACACGGUCCAA